CUGGGCUAUGGGGACAUGUAUCCUAAGACUUGGUCAGGGAUGUUAGUAGGUGCACUGUGUGCGUUGGCUGGCGUUCUUACAAUUGCAAUGCCUGUGCCAGUCAUUGUUAACAAU